GACGAACGCUGGCGGCGUGCUUAACACAUGCAAGUCGAACGGAAAGGCCCUGCUUUUGUGGGGUGCUCGAGUGGCGAACGGGUGAGUAACACGUGAGUAACCUGCCCUUGACUUUGGGAUAACUUCAGGAAACUGGGGCUAAUACCGGAUAGGAGCUCCUGCUGCAUGGUGGGGGUUGGAAAGUUUCGGCGGUUGGGGAUGGACUCGCGGCUCAUCAGCUUGUUGGUGGGGUAGUGGCUUACCAAGGCUUUGACGGGUAGCCGGCCUGAGAGGGUGGCCGGCCACAUUGGGACUGAGAUACGCCCCAGACUCCUCCGGGAGGCAGCAGUGGGGAAUAUUGCACAAUGGGCGGAAGCCUGAUGCAGCAACGCCGCGUGCGGGAUGUCGGCCUUCGGGUAGUAAACCGCAUUCGCCUGUGACGAAGCGUGAGUGACGGUAAUGGGUAAAGAAGCACCGGCUAACUACGUG
rnacentral:rRNA from 1 species